rnacentral:rRNA from 1 species
AAUCCAUAGGUUAAUGAGGCGAACCGGGGGAACUGAAACAUCUAAGUACCCCGAGGAAAAGAAAUCAACCGAGAUUCCCCCAGUAGCGGCGAGCGAACGGGGAGGAGCCCAGAGCCUGAAUCAGCAUGUGUGUUAGUGGAAGCGUCUGGAAAGGCGCGCGAUACAGGGUGACAGCCCCGUACACAAAAGCGCAUGUGCUGUGAGCUCGAUGAGUAGGGCGGGACACGUGGUAUCCUGUCUGAAUAUGGGGGGACCAUCCUCCAAGGCUAAAUACUCCUGACUGACCGAUAGUGAACCAGUACCGUGAGGGAAAGGCGAAAAGAACCCCGGCGAGGGGAGUGAAAAAGAACCUGAAACCGUGUACGUACAAGCAGUGGGAGCACAGGUUUACCUGUGUGACUGCGUACCUUUUGUAUAAUGGGUCAGCGACUUAUAUUCUGUAGCAAGGUUAACCGUAUAGGGGAGCCGGAGGGAAACCGAGUCUUAACCGGG